UGUGGGAGCGGGCUUGCCCGCGAUGACGGCGGUACAUCCAAAAUUAAUGUCUCAGACAGACCGCUAUCGCGGGCAAGCCCGCUCCCACA
rnacentral:misc_RNA from 1 species